AAAAUGCAGAAUCUGGAAACAGAGCAAAUGGAUCCAAAGUUGCAAAGCAUUCUGUUAAAGUUUCUUAUGUACCAAAAGAAAGUGGGGAGACCAUAAUGGAAUCUCCGAAGGUUCACAGUAUUCCAGUUUCCUAUACCUCUGAUGGAAAUGAGGGGAUUGCAGGAUCACCUGCUAUUCAUAAAUUAUUCAAGAAAUGGUUGAACAUGUUGCGCACA
rnacentral:misc_RNA from 1 species